GUUUUAAUAGUUUAAAUAAAAUAUUGGUCUUGUAAACCAAGGAUAAGAUAUUCCCUUUUAAAACU
rnacentral:tRNA from 1 species